UGGUUUAAUAGGGAGACAAUUUUUUAAUGCUUUAGCAAUAGCUAGUGAGGCAAUGGGCUAUUUACAAAGUUGGGUCCAGAGGAAUUUUUAAUAUUUUUUGCCCUGCGCCAUAAGCAAAGUAAAUAAGUCUAGAGAAUUAAAUAGUGAAUGCCUCACAAGCAUUGAAGCAUGUCUCCAGAAAUGCCACCCGAUCAGGGCCUUAAGGCGUUUUUUAUUUGCCAUGCUUUGAGAUGUUGAGAUUUUUUAAACAAUUGGAGCAUCUUCUAUGACAUGGGUCAGCAAUUGGAAAUGUCAAGAUCUGGUUUCAUUAAUGGGAAUUUCUGUUGAACAGAAUACUUAUAUUUAUGAUAUGUGGGCGGAAAAUGGGGGUUUUCUGAAUUCGGAUUAUUCAGACUAAGUCUCAUUAUUUCAGUUUUCAUUCACUCGCAUCAUUUUGCUAAUUAGUAUGCUUUAUUGCAGGCUAUUCCUGGUAGCUUAAAUACUUUUUAUUGCUUCUGAAGUUUCAUUGAUUGGAUUUGAUUUUUUCGACACUUGUUUGAUGGAUGAUGGCUAUUCCAAUGGAUGAUUACAAGGAAAAUUCAUCAAGGGAACGUGUUCAGCACCUCUUCAACAAGGUAUAUGUGUUCUUUAGUCCAAAAGAUUAUAUCUUUGUGGGUGGAAAUUGAGUUUGGCAUUCUUCAUGUGAAUGUUUGUGUCGUAUAAUGUGGCCUAGAUUACGUUUCUUUUUGUAGAACAUUGGCAAAGGGGUUACCUUCGAAAAAUCAUCCAAUUACCUCAUCGAGAUAAACGAGGCAUACAAAUGCAGAAUUAUCUUGUUUGGUUUAGUUGGCGUUUUUAAAAAGAUAUAAUUAUUAUGUUCUCUUUAAUCAAUUAUGUUUCUUUGACUGAUUUCUCAUUCCACUAUAGAAUGUUGAAUUGGAGGCCAAGCGUAGGAAAGCCGCCCAAGCCAGAAUCCCUUCUGAUCCAAAUGCAUGGCAAAAGAUGCGUGAAAACUAUGAGGCUAUUGUCCUUGAAGACCAUGCUUUUUCUGAACAAAACGACGUAGAGUAUGCUUUGUGGCAGUUGCAUUACAGGAGAAUUGAGGAAUUACGGGCACUCUUCAACGCCUCUCUAGCUUCAUCAGGACCAGCUGCACCCCCGAAUGGGGAAGUUCCUUCCCGAGCUGGACCUGAUCGACUGACCAAAAUCCGUUCCCAGCUCAAGGCGUUUCUUUCUGAGACCACUGGAUUUUAUCAUGAUUUGAUGUUGAAGAUAAGGGUAAAGUAUGGUCUACCACUGGAUAAUUUUUCCGAUGAUCCACACAAUCAAAUUUCCUCGUUAGAACAUGGAAAUAAAUUUUCUGAGAAGAAUAAGGGAUUGAUAUCCUGUCAUCGCUGUUUGAUUUAUCUGGGGGAUCUUGCACGAUACAAGGGCUUAUAUGGGGAAGGGGACUCUAAAGCUCGGGAAUUUGCAGCUGCGUCCAGUUAUUAUAUGCAAGCUUCUUCACUUUGGCCUUCUAGUGGUAAUCCACAUCACCAGGUAAACCCUUCUUGAACUUCAUAGUGGUUUUUAGUUGGCAACUUUUGUCAUUAAUUGCCUCUUCCUAUAUUUUGGAUAUGGUUGUCCUGCUUGGUUAUUAACUUGUAGUUCUCUUAAUUUUUCAGGUUGCUAUACUGGCAGGAUAUUCCAAUGAUGAACUGGGGUCUAUAUAUUGCUACUUCCGAAGCCUAGCUGUUGAGAACCCUUUCAUUACUGCAAGGGACAACUUGAUCAUCGCAUUCGAAAAGGUAACUAUUCAGUAUAUGAACAAGUACGAGGAUGUUAAGUUCAUUAAAAUUUUCACCUUUAACCUAGUAUAUAACUAUGUUCUUAUUUUUUCACUUGUUGUUAUUAUCUUUUUUACGAGUGUUAGGCUUAACUCCAUGUCUGUUCCUGAGAGUAGAGAAUAGCAUUCGUGAUUGAAAUUGGUGCUUUGUUACCUAAUAAGAACAAAACAUGAAGUAGAAAGUGCCAUUUGAUCAAGUAUUACUAUGUCACAAGGACCUCUUUUCUUGCUUCAAUUUUUCAAGAUUCUUGUUACCUUCCCAUCAACCAAUGGCACUUUUACACCAUUGUUCUCGUCAUUAAUUUUCUCUAUUUUGGCAGAAUCGUCAGAGUUAUACCCAACUUCUUGGUGAUGCUAAAGCUUUGGUGAAGGCAGCACCUUCGAGGAUGCCUGGGUACAGGAGAGGUAAAGGUGAAACUAGGACUUCUAUUAAAGAUAAUAAGGUGGAAGCAAGUUCAGCUAAGAAAAGAGCUUCUGGCGUUGCUGAUCUUUUGAAAGCCUUCAUCACACGAUUUGUUCGACUAAAUGGCAUUCUUUUCACGCGGACAAGGUCUGUUCUGAAUUUUUACACUGUUUAGUAUAUUGUGACAUUAAAAUUACAAACCAAUGAUGCUUAUACGUUUCUCAUGUUUAUCCAGCUUGGAAACUUUUGAGGAAGUCUUCUCAAUGGUUAGAAAUGAUUUGUUAGAACUUCUUUCUUCUGGGCCAGAUGAGGAGUUCAACUUUGGUUCUGAUGCUGCACUGUGUCAACUAGUAAUUGUCAGACUGAUCAUUAUUCUCAUAUUUAUUGUUCAUGAUGUGAGCAAGGAAAACAAAAACCAAUCAUAUGCUGAUAGCCUACAGCGUUCAGUCCUGCUUCAUAAUGCAUUUACUGCUACCUUCGAAUUUAUGGGUUAUGUACUUGAACGCUGCAACAAGUUGAAUGAUCCUUCAUCUAGCUUUUUAUUGCCUGGUAUCAUGGUUUUCGUAGAAUGGUUAGCCUGUAACCAUAAUGUUGCAGUAGACAGUGGUCUGGAGGAGAAGCAAGCGAAUGUUAGAUCCUUUUUUUGGAACAAUGUUAUCGCCUUCUUUAAUAAGCUCUUAUCAAGUGGAUAUGUAUAUAUUGGUGAAGAUGAAGACGAAACAUGUUUCUCCCAUGCGAGUGAGUACGAUGAAUUUGAGACUGCUAAUCGUCUUGCAUUGCCUGAAGACUUUGAAUUGAGAGGAUUCUUUCCUCUUCUUCCUGCUCAAGUUACCCUCGAUUUUUCAAGGAAGCAUAGUUUUGGAAGUGAUGGUGGCAAUAAGGAAAAGAAAGCCCGCAUUCAGAGGAUUAUUGCAGCUGGAAAGGCUCUCGCAAAUGUGGUCCAGAUUGGGAAGGAGGGAAUAUAUUUUGACACGAAGUUGAAGAAAUUCUUGAUCGGUGUUGAACCCCAAAUUUCUGUUGAUUAUCCACUCACCAGCCCUUUAGAAGAUCCCAAAAUAAAUGGUAAUUCGCUAGAAAAUUCUGUUGAGGGCCAAGUGGUUCUAGCUGCUAGGCCCAAGCUGGAGGUUGAUGCUGAAGGAGAGGAAGACGACGAGGUUAUUGUCUUCAGGCCAUCUAAGACUGAGAAGCAUGUGAGUGACUUCGCAUCAAAGUUAACUUCUUCAGAGGUUCUUGCUUCCACUGUUGGUGAUGGAAGGGUUCAUUGUGGGAAUCAGAAUGGGUCUGUUUCUGUUGGAGAUGAGAGUUUCCUCUUACAGGGUGCUCCAAGCACUGGACGAUCUAUAGCUGUUGCUAACUGCACUUCUCAGUAUAUGCUACCAGUCCAACCCAGCUUUUCAAAGUACUUGGUAGAACAAGCUCCAACCCUGAAUGGCUUGUCCCACUUGAGUUUGAUGGAAAAUGGAUCUUUUAUGAAACCUGCUCUGCAAGAUCAAUUGGGAGUGUCCCAGCCUGCUGCUUCUGCUGUUCCCUACCCUCGGUUUGUCAACACUGAUUCUGGACAUAAUUAUCCUGUUCAGAUUUCACAAACUGCUGUAACAUCUAAAUUUGAUUCCAUUAUGUACCCCAGAGCAGCUACUGAUGGCCCGUUUGUCAAACCAUCACCAGCCAUAUCAGCAGGCAUAAAAAAGAAUCCUGUGAAUCAACCUGUUCGGCAUUUUGGGCCCCCACCUGGCUUUGGUUCCACUCCUUCUAAAACUGUGGAUGAGUCAUUGAACAGCAUGACAUUGAAAAAUGAAAAUCAUUUAACCCCUCAAAUGGACGAACAUAGCUGGCUAGAUGGAUAUGAGUUAUCUUCAAAUCAAAGUGCUGGAUUUAACAAGUCCAUUAAUCAUGUGGGACCAAAAUUCCCUUCUGCGAGCAAGAACAGUGGUUCAAUGGGAAUGACAAGCUUCCCUUUCCCUGGGAAGCAAGUCUCUGUGAUGCAAGUCCAGAGUCAAAACCAGAAAAGCUGGCUCGACUAUCAGUUGCCAGAGCAUUUGAUGCAGUACCAGGAGCAGCAGCAACAAUUUCAUGGAGGAAAUCAACAUUAUGUCAGGUCAAAGAAGUAUCAAGGACAAUCUCCUUUGGAAAGUCACUUCUUUGUGUGAGAUGAUUAGGGGAGCAUAGAUGGUAAGGUGUAUUCUGCCUCUUUAGUUUUUAGUCUUCAAAUCAUUAUUUUCUUCCUUCCCUCUCUAUAGAUGGGGGGCAGUUUCCUACUAUCUUGAAAUUGACUUUAUGUUGAGAUGCUCCACUUGAAUUUCUACCACAUCAAAUUUUCUUAACGUAUUAAGGUUUGAACAGUUUGACGCGACAAAUAUCCAUGGCUGGGUUGCUAUCAUUUCCACCAUUGCUUUUGCUGAAUCUUCCGUGUUGAGUUUUUGUUGGAGCAUGGUAGUAGUUGGAGUGUUGAAGGCACCUGAUUUUGAACAGGUUUCUCUCUGUCAAUUGACUUUUUCUUUUAAGAUGUUAGUUUUUCCUUUCAAAUUACGUAAAAUAAUCAAAACGUCUGACACAGUAGCCUUUUAUUUUGAUUUUAUACUGACUGAAUGUGUUUGUUCUUCUGAGUGUUAGUUUCUUCCUUUUGGCAUAUUUCUCUUUUUCCUUUUCUCAACUGUGGUUUUCAGCUCGAGGAAAAUGGUUUUUUUCAUGUGAAAGUGAUUUUGCAAUCUUUGGCCUUGCUGUUUGAGCAUCGCUUGCAUUUAACUUUUUCCCCCCUUGGUUCUCUCUAUUUUUAGCUCCUAAUGAAUGCAUAUAUGACCAUUUAGGGUCCUUUUGAUUGAGAGUUCCAACAUCUUUUUCUCUUUUACUUUUGGUUCGAUUGAAGAGAGGACAAACUGGGUCUGCCUAACUGUACUUUGCCCCCAUUUUCUUUUUUCACUGGUCUAGACGAGUUGUUUGGUAGAAGGGGUGUUGCCUUUGGUUACCAAUUUAUUAGUACCUUCUCUAUCUCGUGUUUUAUUUUUGCGAUAAAAUCUUGCUCCGAGUACCUUAUGUGUGCUUGUGUAUGUUUCUUGCAAGAUGAAUGAUAACUACCUUCACCAUUAGCCUUACAAGAGAAAGUGCUCAUUUUAUCCCUUAAAUAGCAACUAUCUCUAUAUUUGUCUUACCUUCCCCAACAUCCUUCAAUCAGAUGAAGAACUUGACUUCCUACAAUGCGAUCUGUUUAAUGAUGUAGAUAU
rnacentral:lncRNA from 1 species